rnacentral:misc_RNA from 1 species
GAUGAAGAACGCAGCAAAAUGCGAUAAGUAAUGUGAAUUGCAGAAUUCAGUGAAUCAUCGAAUCUUUGAACGCACAUUGCGCCCCCUGGUAUUCCGGGGGGCAUGCCUGUCCGAGCGUCAUUGCUGCCCUCAAGCACGGCUUGUGUGUUGGGCCUCCGUCCUCCUCCCGGGGGACGGGCCCGAAAGGCAGCGGCGGCACCGCGUCCGGUCCUCGAGCGUAUGGGGCUUCAUCACCCGCUCUUGUAGGCCCGGCCGGCGCUUGCCGACACAUCAAUCUUUUUUCCAGGUUGACCUCGGAUCAGGUAGGGAUACCCGCUGAACUUAAGCAUAUCAAUAAGCGGAGGA